rnacentral:sRNA from 10 species
AAAGAAAAGCAUUUGCAAGGCUCAGCCUUAGGGAAAUCCGCCCAAAGCCAAAGAGAAAGAAGAAAGGAGAAAGAAAGAAAAAAGAUAGGCACAGGUUUGGCUCAAAAUUGAGUGAACCCGUGAGAUUUCCUCUCACUCUUGAAGGUUUAUGUUGAUUCAUCACUCAAGGAGACUCCAUUGUUCAAGAGAGAAGCUGUGGAGAGUCAAUGAAGGAAUAAGCUCGGCUUUGGUGGUUUAAGCAAGGAAAGGUGAAGUAACGAGUGAUCGGCAAGUAGAAAUAGCUAGAUACGCACCCGAAUCAAUAGGACGUAGCAUCCCGCUAUUGUAAGAUAGUGAUCAGCUUAGCAUACAAUCAUUGGCAUUUAUGGUCCACCGCGAAUAGGAAAGUAUAUGAUUUAAAGCAAUAACAUGGAUUGGUGAAUGAGUAUAGUGAAUUAUCGAGAAUAUCUAAUAAGGCUUGUUCAAGAUUUGACGGAUUUUUUCGAAGGUCUCAAACGCCACAAGUGCCAGUGUGCCACUCAGUUGAAAAUUUAGCCACCUUUUGUCCAUAUGUGGAAUAUAGGGGGAUGAUUCCUACAAGGAAACCAUCGAAAAUACCUUGGUUGGUGCCAGCAAGAUUGCGGGGCAUAUGGUGGCAUUGCAAGUUUCAAUGAAUUUGGAAUGCUAUCAAGACUGCAAGGUUCAUUAAAUGGUAUUGAUGCUUUAUUGUAUGUGUUACUAUUUUCUAAGAAUGAUGCUCAAAACCCUUGCAAUUUGUAGUGCAAUAAUUGCCAUUGAACUAUUCAUAGGAUCAUAUGAUGUUGAAUAAAUCAAUUUAGAGAAAAAGUUGUUGCAUAAAUAUUGU